rnacentral:rRNA from 1 species
AUUGAACGCUGGCGGCAUGCCUUACACAUGCAAGUCGAACGGCAGCAUGAUCUAGCUUGCUAGAUUGAUGGCGAGUGGCGGACGGGUGAGUAAUACAUCGGAACGUGCCCUGUAGUGGGGGAUAACUAGUCGAAAGAUUAGCUAAUACCGCAUACGACCUGAGGGUGAAAGUGGGGGACCGCAAGGCCUCAUGCUAUAGGAGCGGCCGAUGUCUGAUUAGCUAGUUGGUGAGGUAAAGGCUCACCAAGGCGUCGAUCAGUAGCUGGUCUGAGAGGACGAUCAGCCACACUGGGACUGAGACACGGCCCAGACUCCUACGGGAGGCAGCAGUGGGGAAUUUUGGACAAUGGGCGAAAGCCUGAUCCAGCAAUGCCGCGUGUGUGAAGAAGGCCUUCGGGUUGUAAAGCACUUUUGUCCGGAAAGAAAUGGCUCUGGUUAAUACCUGGGGUCGAUGACGGUACCGGAAGGAUAAGGACCGGCUAACUACGUG